GACGAACGCUGGCGGCGUGCUUAACACAUGCAAGUCGAACGGAAAGGCCCUGCUUUUGUGGGGUGCUCGAGUGGCGAACGGGUGAGUAACACGUGAGUAACCUGCCCUUGACUUUGGGAUAACUUCAGGAAGCUGGGGCUAAUACCGGAUAGGAGCUCCUGCUGCAUGGUGGGGGUUGGAAAGUUUCGGCGGUUGGGGAUGGACUCGCGGCUUAUCAGCUUGUUGGUGGGGUAGUGGCUUACCAAGGCUUUGACGGGUAGCCGGCCUGAGAGGGUGACCGGCCACAUUGGGACUGAGAUACGGCCCAGACUCCUACGGGAGGCAGCAGUGGGGAAUAUUGCACAAUGGGCGGAAGCCUGAUGCAGCAACGCCGCGUGCGGGAUGACGGCCUUCGGGUUGUAAACCGCUUUCGCCUGUGACGAAGCGUGAGUGGCGGUAAUGGGUAAAGAAGCACCGGCUAACUACGUG
rnacentral:rRNA from 1 species